rnacentral:rRNA from 1 species
CUCCAGACUCCUACUGGAGGCAGCAGUGAGGAAUAUUGGUCAAUGGGCGGAAGCCUGAACCAGCCAAGUCGCGUGAGGGAAUAGGGCCCUACGGGUCGUAAACCUCUUUUGCCGGGGAGCAAGGGCGGGGACGUGUCCCGGCCCGGAGAGUACCCGGAGAAAAAGCAUCGGCUAACUCCGUGCCAGCAGCCGCGGUAAUACGGAGGAUGCGAGCGUUAUCCGGAUUUAUUGGGUUUAAAGGGUGCGUAGGCGGGCUUUUAAGUCAGCGGUAAAAAUUCGGGGCUCAACCCCGUACUGCCGUUGAAACUGCAUCCCUUGAGUGCGCGAGAAGUAUGCGGAAUGCGUGGUGUAGCGGUGAAAUGCAUAGAUAUCACGCAGAACUCCGAUUGCGAAGGCAGCAUACCGGCGCGCAACUAACGCUCAUGCACGAAAGCGUGGGUAUCGAACAGGAUUAGAUACCCCUGUAU